CGAUCGGUAGCCGGACUGAGAGGUUGAACGGCCACAUUGGGACUGAGACACGGCCCAGACUCCUACGGGAGGCAGCAGUGGGGAAUAUUGCACAAUGGGGGAAACCCUGAUGCAGCGACGCCGCGUGGAGGAAGAAGGUCUUCGGAUUGUAAACUCCUGUUGUUGAGGAAGAUAAUGACGGUACUCAACAAGGAAGUGACGGCUAACUACGUGCCAGCAGCCGCGGUAAAACGUAGGUCACAAGCGUUGUCCGGAAUUACUGGGUGUAAAGGGAGCGCAGGCGGGAAGACAAGUUGGAAGUGAAAUCCAUGGGCUCAACCCAUGAACUGCUUUCAAAACUGUUUUUCUUGAGUAGUGCAGAGGUAGGCGGAAUUCCCGGUGUAGCGGUGGAAUGCGUAGAUAUCGGGAGGAACACCAGUGGCGAAGGCGGCCUACUGGGCACCAACUGACGCUGAGGCUCGAAAGUGUGGGUAGCAAACAGGAUUAGAUACCCUGGUAGUCCACACCGUAAACGAUGAUUACUAGGUGUUGGAGGAUUGACCCCUUCAGUGCCGCAGUUAACACAAUAAGUAAUCCACCUGGGGAGUACGACCGCAAGGUUGAAACUCAAAGGAAUUGACGGGGGCCCGCACAAGCAGUGGAGUAUGUGGUUUAAUUCGACGCAACGCGAAGAACCUUACCAAGUCUUGACAUCCUGCGACGGUUCUGGAAACAGAGCUUUCCUUCGGGACGCAGAGACAGGUGGUGCAUGGUUGUCGUCAGCUCGUGUCGUGAGAUGUUGGGUUAAGUCCCGCAACGAGCGCAACCCUUAUGGUCAGUUACUACGCAAGAGGACUCUGGCCAGACUGCCGUUGACAAAACGGAGGAAGGUGGGGAUGACGUCAAAUCAUCAUGCCCUUUAUGACUUGGGCUACACACGUACUACAAUGGCGUUAAACAAAGAGAGGCAAGACCGCGAGGUGGAGCAAAACUCAGAAACAACGUCCCAGUUCGGACUGCAGGCUGCAACUCGCCUGCACGAAGUCGGAAUUGCUAGUAAUCGUGGAUCAGCAUGCCACGGUGAAUACGUUCCCGGGCCUUGUACACACCGCCCGUCACACCAUGAGAGCCGGGGGGACCCGAAGUCGGUAGUCUAACCGCAAGGAGGACGCCGCCGAAGGUAAAACUGGUGAUUGGGGUGAGGUCGUAACAAGGUAGCCGUAGGAGAACCUGCGGCUG
rnacentral:rRNA from 1 species